rnacentral:sRNA from 10 species
UUGAGGAUGAUGGAGCUGGAGUACCUGUCAACUCACCGAUUGCCAGAGUCCAUGUGACUAAUACGGCUGGCUAGAUGUCCUCUUCCUCACUCAUCACAUAGUGAGGAAUCCUCCUGAAAUUCUGUGCCUGGUCAGAGAGAAUGAUGUUCCCUAGUAGAGAAGAACUGUUCUUCAAUCAAAAGAAAGCUGUCACAGAACUCUCCUGCAAGAACCUUUGUACCUGUUUAACUAUUACUGGCGAAUUUAAGCAGAAAAUGAGGAUUAUUAUAAGGGUAGUGGGCAUAUUUU